GAUGAACGCUAGCGACAGGCCUAACACAUGCAAGUCGAGGGGUAACGGAAGUAGCUUGCUACUAGGCGACGACCGGCGCACGGGUGAGUAACACGUAUGCAACCUACCUUUUACAGAGGGAUAGCCCAGAGAAAUUUGGAUUAAUACCUCAUGGUAUUUUUGAAUCGCAUGAUUUAGAAAUUAAAACUCCGGUGGUAAAAGAUGGGCAUGCGUUCUAUUAGUUAGUUGGUGAGGUAACGGCUCACCAAGGCGACGAUAGAUAGGGGUUCUGAGAGGAUAGUCCCCCACACUGGUACUGAGACACGGACCAG
rnacentral:rRNA from 1 species